rnacentral:rRNA from 1 species
GACGAAUGCUGGCUGCGUGCUUAACACAUGCAAGUCGAACGGUGAAGGAGAGCUUGCUCUCCGGAUCAGUGGCGAACGGGUGAGUAACACGUGGGCAACCUGCCCCUCACUCUGGGAUAACGCCGGGAAACCGGCGCUAAUACCGGAUACGACCAGGCGCGACAUCUCGCCUGGUGGAAAGAAUUUCGGUGAGGGAUGGGCCCGCGGCCUAUCAGCUUGGUGGUGGGGUAACGGCCCACCAAGGCGACGACGGGUAGCCGGCCUGAGAGGGCGACCGGCCACACUGGGACUGAGACACGGCCCAGACUCCUACGGGAGGCAGCAGUGGGGAAUAUUGCGCAAUGGGCGAAAGCCUGACGCAGCGACGCAGCGUGAGGGACGACGGCCUUCGGGUUGUAAACCUCUUUCAGCGGGGACGAAGCGAAAGUGACGGUACCCGCAGAAGAAGCACCGGCUAACUACGUGCCAGCAGCCGCGGUAAAAC